rnacentral:rRNA from 1 species
ACGCUCGACACCUACGGAGGCAGCAGUGGGGAAUAUUGCACAAUGGGGGAAACCCUGAUGCAGCGACGCCGCGUGAGCGAAGAAGUAUUUCGGUAUGUAAAGCUCUAUCAGCAGGGAAGAUCAUGACGGUACCUGACUAAGAAGCUCCGGCUAAAUACGUGCUAGCAGCCGCGGUAAUCUGAGCGGGCUGGCAAGGC